AUUGAACGCUGGCGGCAGGCCUAACACAUGCAAGUCGAGCGAGCGGCGGACGGGUGAGUAAUGUCUGGGAAACUGCCUGAGGGAGGGGGAUAACGACUGGAAAAGGUAGCUAAUACCGCACACCAUCAGAUGUGCCAAGAUGGGAGUAGCUAGUAGGUGGGGGAACGGCUCACCUAGGCGACGAUCCCUUGCUGGUCUGAGAGGAUGACCAGCCACACUGGAACUGAGACACGGUCCAGACUCCUACGGGAGGCAGCAGUGGGGAAUAUUGCGCAAUGGGCGAAAGCCUGAUGCAGCCAUGCCGCGUGUGUGAAGAAGGCCUUCGGGUUGUAAAGCACUUUCAGCGGGGAGGCGUUACCCGCAGAAGAAGCACCGGCUAACUCCGUGCCAGCCGCCGCGGUAAUUC
rnacentral:rRNA from 1 species